AUCCCUGUAGAUUUUAUUCCAUUAGUCAUUGCUGACUACAGUGGGCGGUGCUCAUCUCCAUUUCAAGGCCACUGAGCUACCAUUGUCCAAAGACAUUUCCACAGUUAUGUGGCCAGCAUGAUGUCACAGAGCACUAUUAUCUUCCCACCAAAGUGGUACCUAUUUAUCUACUCACAUUUGCAUGCUUUCAAACUGCUAGGUUGGCAGGAGCUGGGCCGAGGACGGGAGCUCACCCCAUCACAUGGCACUCAGGCCUUGAAUCUAGGCUGUUGGCUUUCCAGCCAACAAACCCAAUGUCUUAACCAAUCAGCCACUUUGCCACCCUGAGAAGAAUUUUUAAAAAGAGUUCAUGUCCAGUUUACCCCUCUCUGUUGCACAUGGAAUGGGAUGUAGCAAAUCUAUGCAUCCUUGCUAACUCACUGACACCAUUGAGAUCUAUUCCCAGAAGUCUGCAGUGAAGUUCAAAUAGGGAAUGAUGAAAGCAGCAUUGUGCCAUCCAAUAUUCAAACUCUGUUUCUUUUGUACAUGUAUCAACAUGGUGCAC